AGUGGAAUAGCUGGAUUGUAUGGCAAGUUUAUCCUUUUAAGAAACUGUUCAGCUGUUUUCCAAAGUGGCUGUACCAUUUUACAUUUCUACUAGCAAU
rnacentral:pre_miRNA from 1 species